UACGGAGGGCGCGAGCGUUACCCGGAUUUACUGGGCGUAAAGGGCGUGUAGGCGGCCUGGGGCGUCCCAUGUGAAAGGCCACGGCUCAACCGUGGAGGAGCGUGGGAUACGCUCAGGCUAGACGGUGGGAGAGGGUGGUGGAAUUCCCGGAGUAGCGGUGAAAUGCGCAGAUACCGGGAGGAACGCCGAUGGCGAAGGCAGCCACCUGUCUCACUGGUGACGUUGAGGCGCGAAAGCGUGGGGAGCAAACCGG
rnacentral:rRNA from 1 species